rnacentral:rRNA from 1 species
GACAGAGGUGCCGAGCGUUAGGCGGAAUCACUGGGCUUAAAGCGUGUGUAGGCGGGUCCGUAAGUACCUUGUGAAAUCCCAUGGCUCAACCAUGGAACUGCUUGGUAUACUGCGGAUCUUGAGCCACCUAGGGGCAAGUGGAACAAACGGUGGAGCGGUGAAAUGCGUAGAUAUCGUCUGGAACGCCGAAGGUGAAAACAGCUCGCUGGGGCUGCGCUGACGCUGAGACACGAAAGCCAGGGGAGCGAACGGG